rnacentral:rRNA from 1 species
GACGAACGCUGGCGGCGUGCUUAACACAUGCAAGUCGAACGGAAAGGCCCUGCUUUUGUGGGGUGCUCGAGUGGCGAACGGGUGAGUAACACGUGAGUAACCUGCCCUUGACUUUGGGAUAACUUCAGGAAACUGGGGCUAAUACCGGAUAGGAGCUCCUGCUGCAUGGUGGGGGUUGGAAAGUUUCGGCGGUUGGGGAUGGACUCGCGGCUUAUCAGCUUGUUGGUGGGGUAGUGGCUUACCAAGGCUUUGACGGGUAGCCGGCCUGAGAGGGUGACCGGCGACAUGGGGACUGAGAUACGGCGCAGACUGCAACGGGAGGCAGCAGUGGGGAAUAUGGCACAAUGGGCGGGAGCCUGAUGCAGAAACGCUGCGUGCGGGAUGACGGCCUUCGGGUUGUAAACCGCUUUCGCCUGUGACGAAGCGUGAGUGACGGUAAUGGGUAAAGAAGCACCGGCUAACUACGUG